rnacentral:misc_RNA from 1 species
UGGCUCCGGCAUNGAUGAAGAACGCAGCGAAAUGCGAUAAGUAAUGUGAAUUGCAGAAUUCAGUGAAUCAUCGAAUCUUUGAACGCACAUUGCGCCCCCCGGCAUUCCGGGGGGCAUGCCUGUCCGAGCGUCAUUUGGUACCCCAAGCCAGGCUUGAUGUUGGGUGCCGCCCCCCGGGGCCCGCCCGGAACUCAGUCGGCGGUCCCAGCCCGGGUGCCAGGCGUAGCAGAGAACCUCGCCUGGGUGCCCGGCUGGCCGCCGCUCUUCGGAGGAAGGACCUAUUGCUUGACCUCGGAUCAGGUAGGGAUACCCGCUGA